AACUGAUACUACCUGCGGGAACCUGCGGAAGGAUCAUUAUCGUAUUCUCUGGCGGGGUGACCGAGCCCCGCUCCGGCCCCAAACGGCCGUGCAGCGGGUUCGACUCCCUGUCCAAACCCUUGCAAACCCCUCUGUGCACCUUAGCGGUGGAGGGCGUCGGGGCGAGAGCCCCGUGCCCGAGGCCGUAAAAACAAACCCCAAACUCUUUAAAGAAAGUCAUGCGGCCUCAGCGUCGCCUAA
rnacentral:misc_RNA from 1 species